GAAGUCUGAUAGAGUGGUUUAGUGGUGCUGAAUAAAACAUGGUCUAACAAUGGUAGCAGAGCGUGGUUGAAAGGAAAUUAGUGAUUCAUAUUGUCAAAAACAGUGUAAGGAAGUGUGACAUUUAAAAACUAUUCAGUAAGAAUUUAGUGAAUGUGAAAAAGUGCAAAACUUUGUGGACUAAGAAAAUAAGAAUAUCAACAACAACACCCCCCCUCUUAUGACCCUAAAGUGAAAACUUAUGAAUUGUACAAGCAAGAAUUGUUAACAUGGAAAGAGGUCACAGAGUUAGAUAAGAAGAAACAGUGAGUUGCUAUAGCUUUGUCCCUUCCAUAAAGUGAUGAGUCCAGGACUCGAGAAAAAGUGUUUGAUCAGCUGAACUUGGCGGAUCUCAAGGAAGAAACAGGAACAUCGAAAAGAAAAACAUCAAGUUACCCCCUGAGAUUUUAGCCUUCAAGUUACUCAGAAGAUCACUGAUAAGCAAAGAGGAAAGAAUGAUUGUCUUAACUGGAAUGAAUUUUGAGAAUAUAGAAACUCUCUAUGAAGAAGCAAAGAAAUCCCUGAAAAAAAAUCAAAGGUGAAACUUGUGGAAACGCACCCACUACAUCAGUAUCCAUUAAACUUGAACCGGCAUUCCUGGCAGAGAAUGAGGAAGCACUGAUGGCAGCUGGAUGUGCAAGAAUGCCAAUGAAGGGUAACAAAUUCAACAGAGGAGGUGGAAGAAAUGAGCAGAUGCGGGGGAGAGGAUUUCAGAGUGGCCAGGGUAGAGGUUCAUACCGUCAGCAAGGUGGGCAAUCACGUAUAGGCAGUUCAGGCAUUAAAAAAGAGCAUGAAUCCAUCAGGACUAGAUAGAAAUGUAUUGGUAUGCAAAUCUUGUGUAACAAGGAAAAAGCUGUCCCCUUUUCUGGCAGACUAAAAAGAUACGAAGUGUCGUCCGCUCCACUCUAGCAGCAGAGGCGCUUAGCCUACAGGAAGGACUGGAGGCAAGUUUCUCCUAUCGACACAUGUUGGAGGAAAUCUUAGGACUCCCCAGCAAAUCCAUCGAUAUCUAUGUAUUUGUGGACAAUAAAAGUAUCAUAGAGUCUGUGCAUUCUACUAAACUGGAAGACAAGAGGCUUCGAAUCGAUAUUGCAGCUUUGGUAGAAUCGGUCGCGCAAGGGGAAGUACGGAAAAUUCAGUGGUGCUCUUUACAAAAACAGUUGGCAAACUGCUUAACAAAGGCAGGGGCAGAUGGUUUGUGUGUCUUGGAGAUUCUACAAAGAGGACAGAUGUUGCCAGACUUUGUACAUGUACUUUAAAGUGACAGUGUUACUGUUAAUUUUAAAACCAGACAAACUUUAAUUAAUUCAGAACUUUUAUUUCAUUUUGGUUAGGUUCAAAUAAGCCUUAAGAAAAGGAAAGUAUAAUUAAUGUUAGUUUGCAUGUAUGUUAUACUGAAAGAGAAGUGACUCUUGGAAUGGAUAUUUUAUCUCCCCCUAAGGGAGCUCUUCAUAUUGUUUAUCUCCCCCUAAGGAAGCUCUUCAUAUUGGAAGUCUGAUAGAGUGUUUUAGUGAUGAUGAACAAAGCAUGGUCUAACAGAUUUUCCUAAUUCUUUUUAAAACGUCAUCCUAUUUUCACAAUUUCGUAUAUUUGGUAGCCUACUUCUUAUUUGGUCGGUCAGUUUUUGAAAGUUUCCAUCUUUUGUUUAUAUUUGAUACUACAUGUAAAAUUGAAAGAGCUAUUUUUCGAAUGAAAUGUUUCAUUGCACUAAAACUGUAUGUACUUCUAUAAAACAGACCACUUCAUGAUAUUUGAUAUAAAAAAGGCGAACAAAAAUUACAGCAAAUAUUAAUAAACUUUUGCUUCCCUCGGAUUUGUCCCGCGUAGUCGGUAAUACGUCGGAGGCAAUUCACCAUGAAAAUCUCUGUAUUCUGAGUCUUACAUCCGAGGUUUUUAUCGACAUGGCGGAAAAGGCCGAGCAUAUUAGUCACUGCAAUCUAGUUUUAGGUUGCGACAUAUUUCCCCAUAAUUGUAAGCCACAUCAACUGACAAGAGUUGAUGGUUCUAGGUCUUAUAAGUCGAAAUUUUAGUCGAAUGAGGAAAAGAGAACGGAGGGGAAAUCGGAGUCCUUCUGUCUUUUAAAAUCAUUAUCCUUCUGUGCAAAUUGUUUCUAUUAAUUAAUGUUGAUGCUGUAGCAAUUAAUAAGUCUUAAUAAAGUACAUCACAAUUGAC